ACUCAAAUGAAUUGACGGGGGCCCGCACAAGCAGCGGAGCGUGUGGAUUAAUUCGAUGCAACGCGAAGCACCUUACCCAGGCUGGACAGGGCGGUGGUACCGAUCCGAAAGGGGAGGGACCCGCGAGGGAGCCGUCUCAGGUGCUGCAUGGCUGUCGUCAGCUCGUGCCGUGAGGUGUUGGGUUCAGUCCCGCAACGAGCGCAACCCCCGGCCCCAGUUGCGUUGUCUGGGGCGACUGCCGGGCGAACCCCGGAGGAAGGCGGGGACGACGUCAAGUCCGCAUGGCCCUUACGUCUGGGGCGUCACACACGCUACAAUGGCCGGUACAGCGGGUUGCUUCCCGGCGACGGGUGGCCAAUCCCUCAAACCCGGCCUCAGUCCGGAUGGCAGGCUGCAACUCGCCUGCCUGAAGUCGGAGUUGCUAGUAACCGCGCGUCAGCACAGUGCGGUGAAUGCGUUCCCGGGCCUUGUACACACCGCCCGU
rnacentral:rRNA from 1 species